UGCCAGCCGCCGCGGUAAUACGUGGGGUGCAAACGUUGCUCGGAAUCAUUGGGCGUAAAGCGCGCGUAGGCGGCUUUUUAAGUCGGGUGUGAAAGCCCUGGGCUCAACCCAGGAAGUGCAUCCGAAACUGAAUCGCUAGAGUCUUAAAGAGGGUCGCGGAAUUCCCGGUGUAGAGGUGAAAUUCGUAGAUAUCGGGAGGAACACCAGUGGCGAAGGCGGCGACCUGGGUAAUGACUGACGCUGAGGUGCGAAAGCGUGGGGAGCAAACAGGAUUAGAUA
rnacentral:rRNA from 1 species